UUGAAGCUGCUGAAAAAGUCCUGAAGGACAAAGUGGACGAGCUGACCGCAGACCUUCAGGUUUAUAACGAGCUGAAGAGACGAGUGGACGAGUCAACGUUUAAGAAGGACCUGCAGAGGAACAUCCAGGCCCACGGCAGCCCAGGUGCAUUCUGGGAGUCUGAGCAGGAGUCUCUGCUGUUCGUCA